GAAUAUUGGACAAUGGGCGCAAGCCUGAUCCAGCCAUGCCGCGUGUGUGAAGAAGGCCUUCGGGUUGUAAAGCACUUUCAGCGAGGAGGAAGGGUGUUGUGUUAACAGCACAGCAUUUUGACGUUACUCGCAGAAGAAGCACCGGCUAACUCCGUGCCAGCAGCCGCGGUAAUACGGAGGGUGCAAGCGUUAAUCGGAAUUACUGGGCGUAAAGCGUACGUAGGCGGCUUAUUAAGCAAGAUGUGAAAGCCCGGGGCUCAACCUGGGAAUUGCAUUUUGAACUGGUAGGCUCGAGUUUUGAAGAGGGUGGUAGAAUUUCCAGUGUAGCGGUGAAAUGCGUAGAUAUUGGAAGGAAUACCAGUGGCGAAGGCGGCCACCUGGUCAAAAACUGACGCUGAGGUACGAAAGCGUGGGGAGCAAACAGG
rnacentral:rRNA from 1 species